CCCGCGGGGCAGCGCGGUUGCCGCGAGCUGCGCCCCGCGUGGGGAGAGUCACGGCCGGGACGGGAAGAGGCGGGAGCCAARCGGGAGCGGGCUGCCCGAAACGCCGCGGGAGCAAACUUGAGGCGGGGUGAAAGAAGGGGUAGCGCUUCGCGUUCCCUCUUGCUUUUUCAAAGCACAGGUCUCCUGCCUCCUUCCCCUCCGGCCUUUUAACCAGCUUCAUCUCAAAUAGCCGCCUCGCGCGGGCUCAGCACCCAGGUCCGCGCUUACCGCUACGGAUAAAACAGCCACGUGCAAGAAAACGGGCAAUAGCCAGUACCGAUGCAGAGAGGAAAGCAGCUGUGGAGGUGAUCAGUGCUCCGCUGGCCAGCGGCCGACGUUGCUCCAGGCGCGCGGGCAGCGCCGCUGAGACCUGGCGAGGCGCAGACCGGGUCAGCAAACGUCUACGUGCCGCGGCCCGCGUGCUUGAGCUGAGCGCACAUGUCAAAGCUGUGCUGCAGGAGGCCCAAGCAAGCAAAACUUGUUACCUGCAACUCCCAGCUGAGAGGCAGCUGAGGAAUGUAACAGUCUUGGGAAAGAUAAAAUGA
rnacentral:lncRNA from 1 species